UGGAUGGUUCUUUUGCUUGAGAUUGAUUGUGCAUGAUACUUGCAGAUCUAAAGGUGCACUGGUGCUGUGGUGAUAACAAGGGGCAAGUAUCAUCCACCAAAUGCGUCAACUGAUGGUGAAAAGCCAUUAUAUCUUCAUAUUUCUGCAGGGGCUAAUGAACCAAGCACAUGUGUAUAUCUGGGCUUCGAUGCAGAUCCAUCACUGAACAUUGCUACUUGUAUACGUGGACCAAGUCCGUCAAUCGGUGUUGUUAUAUAUAUAUAUUUAUAGUGGGCGGUAAAGGAUCGGAAAGGGUAUACCCAACAACUUGACGAGGUCCGCAUUGAAGAAAAACAUUACGUUACUAUGGAAAGGAUUGUCAGGUGUAAUGGGGGUUGCUUAUAUUCAAGAAGUUGGGAAAGCCAGCCUCUUUUUUGAGUUAGGCUAGCUUUUAAUUAACAUUUUUGUAGCAAUUAUGAACAAACAUGAAUACUAAUUGCUAGGCUAGCCUUGUAGUAGGUGAAUUGGGGUUUUAUUUUGCCCAUUUUGUAAAAUGUUAAGGAUGAUGAUUUCAGAUAUAAUAGCCCAAUAUUCAAAUCA